rnacentral:rRNA from 1 species
GACAGAGGGGGCAAGCGUUGCUCGGAAUUACUGGGCGUAAAGAGCGCGCAGGCGGCUUGGCAAGUCGGGUGUGAAAUCCCGGGGCUCAACCCCGUGACUGCAUCCGAUACUGUCAGGCUAGAGGUAGGUAGGGGAGAUCGGAAUUCCUGGUGUAGCGGUGAAAUGCGCAGAUAUCAGGAGGAACACCGGUGGCGAAGGCGGAUCUCUGGGCCUUACCUGACGCUCAGGCGCGAAAGCUAGGGGAGCGAACAGG